rnacentral:misc_RNA from 1 species
CAGUGCUCGUCGGUACGCCACGCCUCCGGGCCUGGGCGUGCCGCACCUGCCCCACCCGUGUCUACCUUUACCUUCUGUUGCUUCGGCGGGCCCGCCUUUGCCACGUAGGUACGUUUACUUCCCCCAACCAUUGGGACGGGGUAAGCGUACCUACGCAGCGGGCGGACCGGGGACCCCGUGCACACACACACGACCCCUGGCCAGCGCCCGUCAGAGGACCGUCUGAACCUUCUUGUGAAUACACGACCAGUCUGAGAUUUUACUUUAGAAAUACAGUUA